CCCGAGGCCGCCCCGGCACCGGCACCAGCCCCGGCCCCGCCGCGCCUGCAGCGGCCCGGCCCGGCCGCCCUCCCGCCUCCGCCCCGGAAGAGCAGGAUCGGCCGGGAAGCGCUCCCGGCAGGCGGGGAUGGACCCGCAGCGCCCCCGCCAGACACGGCGGGCACGGAGCGGCGGGAGCCCAGGCAGGGGAGGCCGGGGGGUCCCGGUGUUCCCUCAGCGAGGGGCUGUGCGGGGACCUCCAGCGGGAAUCACAGAUCCCUGAGGGGCACAGCCCGUCCCGGUGGGCCCGGGGGUGCCGCUCUGCCCCAGCGCACCCCUGUUCGCAGAGGAAACACAGGCGCGGUUCGCUCCCCUCUAACUCGUUCAGGGCUGCCGGAAAAAGUAGUAACGAUUUAUUUUUAAAGUUAGAAUUCGGUGUUUGAAAGAUGAGAUCAACAAGUUUGAGUACGUUGAAGGAAAUGUAAUCCAGCAUGACAUAGUGCAGACUUCCAGAAUUAAACUUGAAGGUGUGAUUCUGAGAAAUACACAGCAUUCAUAUUGAUAAGUUCUUGCCAGGAAUCUAAACAUAUGAAACAAUUGUCUUCAAAGCAAGUACUAUUUACUUCUCUAAGAAUCAGAGGAAAGUUGUGUUUUGGUGAAGCAUUGACAGACUGUGGACUAGUCCCCUUUGUGUUCUGUUUGGCAUCAAGGACACAGUUAAUUAGCAGUGGCAAUCAACCAGAGCCAUGACUUCAAGCAGCUGCAAAAGAACCAUCAGCAGUUGUCUCAGGAUAUUACCCUGAGCACAGAGCAGAGGUCUGGACUGUAGAAUCUGAGACACAAGAUAGAUCCUGAAGCACUCUGGUCUGGAGCUAAAGCAAAGCAGUCAAAGGAGGAACAUUUCAACGUCUGGUCAAAGCAAGCUGGUAAUUGUCAGUAUGAGGAGGAAGCAGGCACUCCUGAGGCAGCAGUGGCUGCAGGAUCCCCAGGAAUAGCAGCAGGUGAAGACCUGGAGCCUGAUUGCAAGUAGAAGUAGCAGUUUCUGGCCGGCUUAGAGACUGAACAGGCAGUGGCAAAGUGAGCACAUCUUUCCCUACCACGAGAAACACCGCUGAGCUUUGAGUGUGCAGCAAACCUUCGUGAAACUGCUGGGAUUUAUUGAUCACUUGGAUUGUUCUAAUUGACAAAAGGGCAACUGAAAAAAUGCUGAAUGGCAGGAAACUAUCUGAAGUUUCUUGUCUUCUUGGCAAGGCACCAGACAAUCUGCAGGAGUCUCUAAGAGAUCUUUGUGCUUGCCUCUGCUGAAAGGUGGGUGAGAUAGGAGGUUGUUUCACCUGGGGGAAGAAUUCCAGGUGGGAAAUGACAGUUGAAAUAAGCACUUGAUCUUGUGUCUACAGUUUUAGGAUGGAGAGUGAACGUGUGUCUUACCUAUGCCUUGGUGAGAUGAUCCAGCUCGUGUGACUCAGGAGUAAUUCCAUGCAAUCUGUCCAGUGCUGCUGGGGUUGUAAGCUCCAUUGGGUGGAUGUGAUUUUGUCUGUGAUUUCAGCUCUUAGACAGUGUGCCACUGCAAACAGUACCACAAUGAAAUGCUGACAAAGAAAAUUGGGCAAAUGGGCACUCUGCUUCUGAACAUCAUCUUUCAGCUCCAGCUCAGGUGGGGUUUUGCAUGUGCAGCAAAAUCUGUGACAGCUUAAUAGAGAUGGCAAGUAUAUGAUAGUAUUAAUGAUAGUAUAAUUAAUACUAGUUGUGUUUCAAUAGUACCUAACUGCCAACAUACGUCCUAGGUCCAAUCCAGAAUGACAGAUUGGUUUAGAAAAAUGUGUAGUUUUGGUGCCUUUACAGUCAAGGCAAUUACAAGUUCAGCUCCUUAUAGUCUACAGCAUCAAUCCAGGUCUUUCAAAGCAUUAUAUUCACAUUAUGUUUUUGACAAAAAAGCUUUGCAAUGGGAAUUCUCAUUCUGAUUUUAGCUCUGCCAGGCAGUACUACCUAAACAGGAUUGUGACCCUGUAAGACACACAUGAGUCAGCAUUGGGUUGAAGUUCUUCUGACUGCAGAAUCAAAGUGCAAAGACUCACUUGGCUCAUGGGAUACAGAAGCCUAAUUCAAUAUCUCACUCUCUUUCUAUAACCUGAAGAUACACAGUGUGAGUUCCCAGGGAAUGUUUGCUUGAGGGCUGAGCAGAAGGGAAGAUCCCAACAUCCUAGCCUGUUAUUUUGUUCCACCAUACAUUCAUUAGCUUUUAGGAAAAAUAUUUCAUAAGCGAUCCCACAUUUGUUUGUUCAAAACAGAAUUGCAACAUGAACUACAUGUCAGUGAAAAUAUAGAGUAAUCUUUCUUAUUUACAGAACCAAAGCUGCACAGUCUAGACCUCAAUUUAUUUAUGGUAUUUAUUUAAAGCUUCAGUUUUGACCUGGAUCCAGUUCUCAUUUCUGAAAGCAGCAUAAAGUUCUGACUUGCAGCAAUUUUCUUCUUAAGACCAUUUAUGUUUAUGCAUGUAACAUCAAGAAUUCCAGCCUCUUAUUACAUGAACUAUAUAGUAUUUUCAACAAGAGCCAAUAGUUUCUAUGCAGAAGUAUACACAGGAUAUUGGAGGCAGGGGGAAAAAACCAUGUGGUUCAUACAUACUUGUUAUUAACUGCUUUAACUUGACCUUCCUGGUUUUGUAAGCAGCAUUUUCAGGGGAAUGAAUUGCAUCAGAGUCAGUGGAGAGAAAAAUCAAGGAAGAAUUCUACUCACCCCAAAUUAAGCUUCAAUACUGCAAAGCUGUCAUUAUGUGUAUCAAAGGCUGUUGAAAGUCAUGUUGCUGGGAAUAACUAGGGGGCUUGUUAAUUCAGUCAUGAUCAUCUUUCUGACAGAAGCUCACUUUCAGGAAAUGUGAUAUGAAAUUUUCCUUAGGUUCUCAUCUCCUUCCCAUACUGUGUUUCUUUCACUCUUAGGGUGCUUCAUCUGUAAUUUCUCAGUUAGGAACUCAUUUUUCAGCAACUACAAAACUCUAUAAUGAAUGAUGACCAAGUCUGAAAGGAUUCUUAAGUGAAUGCAAGCUACAUCUUCUUUUCUUAGUUUUGGUAAUGUGAGUUUUCUCAACUGAUUUGAGUUGAGGCCCUCGUGUAAAUAGGGUCGUAUUGUGCUUCUAAAGAUAGCACAGCACAGGGCAGAUCCCUGACUUCUGCUUCUUGUGGUUCCAUUUGAAAGGCACUGUUUGCUUCCCAGCACGUUCCUUUUGGGUGGGUGUAUUUCUUCCUUUCUAGUAAUCUCUACAGUAUCUGCUCAGCCUCUCUGGGGCUGCCCCUUCAUUCUCUGAAUGGCCUGAACUGCCCCUGAAGUCUGCAGCAGUUAAACAAAGGGCACAAUGGCUGAGGGAUUCUGCCAGCAGCUUAAAGGCUUACAGAAUUUGUAGCACUAGUGUAGGCAUUGUUUCAUUGGGAUUUUAUAUGCAUUCUUACACAUGUAUGUCUGCCACGUGCUAACCUGUCUGUGGAAUUCUGUUCCAUCCCUCCUCAGUAAUUCUCUUUUUUUUUUUUUUUUUUAAGAUCAGUCAGGAGCCUGAGUUCUUCUGCCAAAUAUAGUAACAUGAGGCAAAAAGCAAAAGCAUAUCAAUAAUAAUGCAGUAGGCAGAGAACACAGGAAUGCCUGUUCUAUUUCAAAUCCAUUCGACUGUCUCAUUUACGCUGAAAUUGCUGCACAGAAAACAAUCAGACCCAGUUUGAGAGUCUCUUUCUGUAAAUAAACAUGACUAUAUACGAUAGCUGUUCUCGGAUGAUGAAUUGAACUCAAAAUUACAUACACAAAGUGCAUGACCAAGUGCAUAUUUUAAUUUAUAAUUAUCACAAGUGCUUAUGUUAAUUGCUUGUUGUGCAGUGGCAGUAAAAUAAAACAUAACUGGUUUAGUGUUUGUUGUCCAUGCAUUUUCAGUGUACAACAGCUAAUUUAUUGGACCUUAUUCUUUCUCUAUGUGAGUGAUCCAUAUGUAUCUAUAAACCAUUAAAUGCAAGAUUCCUUUAACACGGGAUCAGCAAAUCCAUAAGUUAUUGAGUGCCUGUGUUCCAAAUGGUCACCUUCAUAUCUAUGUCUUAUUUAGAUUUUAGCCUCUAACUGUGGGCUGAGCAUUGUGUUUUCAUUGUACAGCACUAAACACACUUUCUCUGAUAUUCUGUAAUGUCAUGUAAUUCUGUACAGCAGCACAAAACUCUGCCUAAAGAAAGCAAACACCCAGAGCCAUCUGGAGAGGUGCUGAAUUUCUCAGUGGUGGACAAACUGUAUUUCAGGCAAGGACAGGAAUGACAGAGCAGAAAAGCAGCUGGAGCACAUACGGGAAGCAAUAUCCAUUGGUGAGCUCUUUGGACACUAAACCACUCAUGGCAGAGCUCCUGUGUGUUUCUCCCUCAGAAUUUAACUGUAGGGAGAACUGUGUGCACUAACUGAGCCACCUGCAGAAGUGCUGCAGCACCAGAGGGUACAGGGAAGGUCAGCCCCAGCUCAAGCUUUAACUGGUGCUGUUCAGAUCUCUGUGGGAGUCACUGGCAAGUGAUGGUGAGGCACAGACAGGUUCUCCUGCCUUUCAGUGAUCAGCUUGAUGUUCUAGAGACCUUCUCCCUUGUUGUGGUUUAACCCCAGCUCACAACUAAGCACCACACAGCUGCUCACUCCCCUGGGGGGAAUGGGGGAGAUUGGAAGGGUAAAAGCAAGAAAACGCUUGGGUUGAGAUAAAGACAGUUUAAUGGGUCAAGCAUUCUUCUUCUUCCCCCAGCUGCAAACAUGGAGGAUGAAGCCCCAUGGUGUGGAAUAUCCCUCUGGUCAGCUGGGGUCAGCUGCCCCAACUGUGUCCCCUGCCAGCUCCUUGUGCACUCCCAGCUUCCUCACUGUGGGAUGGGGUGAGGAGCAGAAAAGACCUUGGCUCCGUGUGAGCUCUGCUCAGCAAUAACAAAAACAUCUCGGUGUUAUCUACACUGUUUCCAGCACAAAUAGAAAACACAGCCCCACACCAGCUACUAGGAAGGAAAUUAACUCCAUCCCAGCCAAACCAGCUCACUUCUCCACUUUCUCUCCUCUCAGCACCUCCUCUACAAGAUGAGGCUUGCAGUGGAUUAGACCAGGAACCCUCAGUGUGGAUAUUUCCUCUGCAGUGCAUCUGCCCAGGCAGGGAAUGCUAACAGAUUGUUGCCAGGCUUGUGUUUGCCAGCUGGAGCAAAGCACAUUGCAGCAGGAAUGUGUGUACCAGCCCUUUGCCAGUGGUGGGACCAGCCAGUGAAGGGGAAAGCUCUUGGAACUGUCCUGAUCUCCAGCAACUGGAAUCAAAUGUAGACAGAGGAGAAGUCAGACAUGAUACACUGAUGUUACUGCUUGUGCACAGAGAGCAGUGGAAGAUUUUCUUGUAAGACAGGAGUACUUAGCAUGUGUAGGAAUGUGAGUUGUUAGUUUGCUUGAUAAAAAUAACAUUUUCUGUUACCUACGUUCAGUGAUUCAGCAUUUUGAGACAAGUCUUUGACAAAACUAAAUAUGUCUAGAGGUUUGUGUGGGAUGAAGAUUUUAUUUGGUUCAAAUUAAAAAGUACUCCACACCGUGGUGGAUGGUUAAGCUGUCAAAUUUAACCAAUGAAAGGAUAAAAGUGGUAAUCUUGUUUUUACCAGCUCAGCAGUGAACAGAGCAGGUGCAAGCCAUGUUUAAUCCAUGACCCCUGGGAAAUGGUAAUGCUCAUUUCUGUUGUCUUCCUGUGCCAGAUGCCAGGCUCCCUGAAUUCCUAAUUGAGAGCACUGGCUCCGAAGACUGAUAAGGCACAACUGAGCACCUGGGUCGCAUCGAAAUGAGAAAAGCUCUUUAGCUGCUGCUCAUUGUAAUGUCCUACUGCAGGCAACACCUGUGGUAUGACUUUAUAAAUAGAUAACUUGAGCUGUGCUCACACAAGGGUAAUUCAGAAGUUGUCAGCUUGUUAGGCAGUUUUCCAGCCGUGUGCUGAUGGCACAUGCUCAAAACACAGGAGGAAAUAAUUCUUCAUGUGUGUAUAGUACAUUAUGACAUGAAGUUGUGGGGGGAUUUGUUAUCUUUAAAAUUCCUGGUCUGCUUCUUCAUUAAAAGGAAGUUUUCAGAAGAUGUGAUUGGGGCAUUUUCUAGUGUCUUGGAGCGGGUGUGUCACCUGCCAUGUUCUAAAAACAUGUGGAUGGGCAAAAUUACUUAACACUGGUAACAUGCACCUGCAGAGGAAUGAAAAUUUUGGCAAAGAUUCUGGUAACUGUUUUCUCAUCUAGUUUAAUCUCUUCUGAGGUUUUCUCUCAAUUUACAGGGGUGGUCAUUGUACCCCAUGGAGUUCACAGCACUGAAACAGCACAUCCUUCUGGUGUUGGGUCCAGAUCUGAGUAAGAGAUCCUCCUGCUGAACAUCCUACAGCCCUUGGAUUUUGGCUAGCUUUGGAUCUUUAGACUGAAUUUCCUUCAUGUUCAAAUAAUUUACAUUUGAGAAUGUGAAGAAGAGAAUGCAUCUCUUCUGCCACCACCUCUUCCUGAUUACUCAGUCUCUAUAGAGGUUGAUUCAGGAGAUUCAUGUAUAGCCAGCAAUUUAUCAUCAAACCCCUUUCUACUCUUCAGAAGUAAUUUAGAUUCUGUGUUGUCUGAUAUACCAUAAACAUCCCACUAAGGUAUAUUUGUUGGUUUUGACAUUGCUUUGAUAUCAAAAAACCCCACCACUUCCCCAUAAAGAUAAAUGCAUUUUUUAUUUGGACCAAUUUUUCCUUUCUGGGAUUGGAGACCAAAACUGUAACUACUGACAUUUAGUAAAUGAAAUUAGACCUUUUCAGCUUAGUCACAGCUUUGAGAAGCAGCAAAGAGGGAAGAAUUUUGAAAAAUGUCUUUUGUGCUCAGGUAGAUCCUGUUCAUAUUAGAUGAGCUCGUUCCCCGGAUUUUCCUAAAGUUUGUAGGCAAAAAUAAGAGAUGUAUUUCUCCAUAUCCUGGCACACAUGAGUAACAUCAAUCACAAAAGCAACUCUACUCUCUUGUGGGAUAUGGCCAAAACAAUGUAGUGCAGAAUUAAGGACAGACAACGCUCCUGUGAGGUUGUACCAAGGUGGGGAAAAGAAUGUCCUGCAUGGUGAGUUGAGCUCAGUAAAUUGUUAGUACUGGAGAUGGAAAGACAGUUGCAGUAAUUCUGAUCCUUGCCUAAAUUUUCACUAUCUUUUUAUCUGUCUGUAUUUUAUAACCCUACACGCAAAGCGACUUCACCUGUGAGACUCCACAAUUUAAAUAAUUUCAUAGACCUGCUUCUGUUGGAUUGUUUUUAUUAAAAAGAUAAAGGGAUUGUGGAAGAUUGGAGGUCUUUGAUUCCUGGAUGAUCUUUGGACUCUCAGACUGCAAGGAUAAGGAAAAUAAGGAUUUGUGAUGAAGAGAUUCCUGCUGUUCAAGAGGUCCAGAAAGAGAUAAUGCUUUUUUGCAAAGCUUGUGUGAGCAGAGUUUACAUCAGCAAGACACUUAAACGUGGCUAAUUACAGGAGCAUCCUGCAGCCUGAGAUGGUUUGUUCCCAGAGGCACUGGUAGGUUCUGUAACCUGUAGGUAGUUUUACUAAACCCUUGCCCUUGGACUGGAAUGGUGCUGAAUUAUUCCUUUGCAGGAGUGCUGUUCUUGCUGCCUCACACCUACAGUGCAAAAACACCCCAAGCCCUGAGCAGUGAGAUUUGAUUUUUUGAGUCUCAGACGGGACAAGUUUUUGAGAGUUGCUGAGCAGCUUCCACAGCUCUUGGGUUAGUGAAAGUAUUGCAUGAGCAGAAGCUGAGCUGCAACCUCCUUGUUUGAUCUGUUGUGUCUUACUUACUCUGUUUGUGAGAAUAUUCCUUCUGCUUUGCUUUUUUCUUUUUUACCUUGACACACAUACAGUGUAUAUUUAGAUCAGGACUGCAUUAGACAUUCAUUUGGUUAAAUGGUUUCUCACUAUAUUCAGUACAGCUUUGCUGCAUCUGGAGCAAAAUUUAAUAGUCCACAUGGUUUAACAUUUGCUAAAAAUAAAGAGGGGAGGGUGGAAGGAAUUUCUAAUGUAGCUAUGAAGGUUUUACAACAGCUUCUUUACACAGAAGUCAUAACUUUGCAUUUCCUUUUGUGUCAAUGGAAAUUAAUCAAAUCUCCUUCACCUUUGGAGAGAAGAGACAUCAUUUCUCUCUCAAAAUUUUGGUGAAAGGUUCUAUAGGAAGCUUUAAGAUACAGAUUUAUCACCACAGAUGUAUCUUUUAUUUCAGCAUUAGACAGUUGUCAGUGGCAUAAAAACCAGUUUCAAAAUUGGCAUGAAUUGGCAUUUGGGCUGGCAACACCAUCAGAGUAAUAAGUGGGGAAAGAAAUUUGCCCACUCAUUACUGUAUUUUUUUGUAAAACAAGAUAGAAUCCUGUUGAGAAGAAAUUUGUACCGAUGUUGGCUCUUUUUAUGCCCCUUUGAGGGAGUAAUUAAUUGCUCUUUCAAAAAAAUUCAUUCUUUUGAUUAACUCCAUUGAUUCCAUAGAAAGGUUCAGUGGACUAAAGUGAAAUGAAUUGGAUUUAAUAAAGCAAAUAGAGUAAAUUUAAAUGAAUUGAAUAAGAUACAUUUACAAUUAUGAUCCAUCUUCAUAUCGUAACGCUAAAACUUAUUCCAAUUCUACCUGUUUGAAGCCAAAGUAAGUAGCACCCUUCCCAAUCAGGCUCAUCAAAAUCCAGUAGGUAUUCCUGACUCAAAAGAAAUGAAAGUUGUGCUAAAUUUUCCAGGAUGUUAGUGGCAGGUGCAAAUCUAAAUAUUAAAUGUUUCCCAAGAAGAAUGUAACUCCUUAAUGAUUUACAGGGAAUGGAUUAAAAAAAGAGCUGUUUGGUCUUUAUUUAACACAUUUUAAAAUCAUGGCAAACUGAAUUUUCUACCACUGAUUCAAAAUAUGCACUGCUAUAUUUGCCAGAGGUUUGUUUUGCAAGCUUCAGCAUUCGUGGGAAGAAACCAGAGAGUUCUGACCUAACCCCAUUUUAGAAUGACAGAUAGAUACUAAGAGGAAAAUAAUUAACACAAAUGGGCAAAUUUCUUUCACUGAUUGUUUUAAAUGCAGCUUUCUUCAGCCAGUUCUCCUUGGGAGCUACGUGAAAUCAUUUUGGAUGCUGGGGUAAUGGAAUGGAGAAAGAAGCCUCCAGUUGUAUAAAAACACCAUUAGGUCAUUGAUGCCUGAAAGCAGAGGUUAAAACCAGUGAUAUUUAUUUUGCCUCUGUCAGGUGGAGAAACAAAUCACUUUGUUAAAUAGAAAAAGACAACACUGACAGGGAAAGUAAGGUUAUAUUUGAAAGGAUGAGACAUGAUUCUUCUGGGGGAGCAGAGUGAGUGUCUCAGCAUUCCCACAUAGAGAAGCCAAUCUUUAUGCUUAAAACAGUGAUGUGGAAUAAAGACCUUGGUCCUGUGCUCAGCUUGGUGAUAAUGUUUUAUAGUAAGUGAAUUGUGAAUCUUUUGGGCCUUUAUUCACAGUUACACUGAGGACCUUUAACACCCCUCUGGCAACUUGCUCAGCCUGCCAGACAAUAUUCCUUCCACACCAAUAAUGUUAUCAAAAAUAUUGAAGAAAACCAACUGAAAAUAAAACUAUCGACAUCCUUUAGUUGAUCCAAUUAUCUGUCUCUAAAAAAGGGUUCUAACACCUCCCACACGGAACAGCAGCUCCAGUAAUUUGGCAACGAUAACAGUGCAUAAUCAGGAAACACGAGGCUGUGAUAUGUGGUAACACAUCCCAUUUUGUGUACAGGAAGAGCUUUGUUUAAGUAAAUAUAUUUUCUUCUUAA